rnacentral:rRNA from 3 species
GCGGCGGACGGGUGAGUAACACGUGGGUAACCUGCCUGUAAGACUGGGAUAACUCCGGGAAACCGGGGCUAAUACCGGAUGCUUGAUUGAACCGCAUGGUUCAAUCAUAAAAGGUGGCUUUCAGCUACCACUUGCAGAUGGACCCGCGGCGCAUUAGCUAGUUGGUGAGGUAACGGCUCACCAAGGCGACGAUGCGUAGCCGACCUGAGAGGGUGAUCGGCCACACUGGGACUGAGACACGGCCCAGACUCCUACGGGAGGCAGC